rnacentral:lncRNA from 1 species
CUAAGCCCUGCCCACCCACGCUGUUUCUCUCCCACUGCAGGGGCUCCGCCGCCGUCUGGCCCCGCCCAGCCCCGCCCGCAGCCGCAGGGACAGCCCCGCCCACCUGGGGGCGUGGCCUCACCACGCCCCGCCUCCCCGGGCGCCUCUCCUCCUCGAGGCCCCGCCCAGCCCCGCCCGCCAGGCCAGCAGCCCCGGCCCCAAACCCCGCCCACCUCCCCGCAGCCCCGCCCGCAAGCCCCACCCACUUCCCCGCAGCCCCGCCCCCAGACUCCACCUCCCGCCACCCAGCCCCGUCCACAAGCCCCGCCCACCGCGCAGCCCCGCCCUCAGGCUCCGCCCACUUCUCAGCCCCGUCCUCAAGCCCCGCCCACCGCGCAGCCCCGCCCUCAAGCCCCACCAACUGGGAUGCAGCCCCGUGCUCAAGCCCCGCCCACUUCCCCUCAGCCCCGCCCUCAAGCCCCUCCCACCUCCCCUCAGCCCCGCCCUCAGGCUCCGCCUGCUUCUCAACCCCGCCCUCAAGCCCCGCUCAUCUCCCCUCAGCCCCGCCCUCAGGCUCCGCCCACUGUUCAGCCCCGCCCUCAAGCCCCGCCCACCUCCCCUCAGCCCCGCCACCCCGGCUCCCCCUCCACCCCGCAGCCUCGCCCCCAAACUCCCCCCGCUGCUGCUCAGCCCCGCCCCCCGGGCCCGCAGGCCCAGCCCACCACGCGUCAGCCCCGCCCCCAGGCCCCGCCCCUCGCCCCCAAACCUGCUCUGGCUCCUAAACCGGGCACGGCCCAGCCCCCCAGCCCCACCCCCGAGCAGGGCGGCCCCGAGGGUCUCCGGUCCCUGCGGCAGAGCUUCGCCUCCCUCUUCACCGACUAAAGGGGGGGGUGCCCCAUUUCCCCCCUUAUCCUCCCCCUCCCUAUCCCUUUUAGAGCCCGGGACCACCCUCUGGCCCCCCAGCUUGUGUGCCCCUAAGCCCCGCCCCCCCACGGGGAUGUGGGGGGGGCAAUGACACGAUGGUGAUGUUCGGUUUGUGCUCGUGACUGUGUGUAAGCCCCGCCCACGGUGUAAGCUCCGCCCCCCUCGCUUGGCCACGCCCCCCCGCAGUGAAGUGGGGGGCAAUAAAGCCCCAGAGCUGCUGCUGUGUUACUGUAUGGGUGCUAUAGGACAAGGCGAAUGUCUAUAGAUAUAUAUGGGGGGAGCCUGUGUGGACCAUAUUGAUGUGUGUGUGGGGGGGGAAUGGACCCCACGGAAUGGGGUAUGGAGGUAUGGACUGCCUGUGACCAGUUAUAGAGCUUAUAGGGCCAGCGAGGGGGGUUAUAGAGUGUGGAAGGGGAGCUGUGGACCAUAUAGAGCCCCGGGUGGGGGGGGCAAAGACCCUGUGGGGAUCCCUAUAGAGCCUGGAGGGGGAGCUAUGGACCCUAUAGAGCCUGGAGUGGGAGCUAU